rnacentral:rRNA from 1 species
UACGUAGGUGGCAAGCGUUAUCCGGAAUUACUGGGCGUAAAGCGCACGCAGGCGGCGCAGCAAGUUCGACGUGAAAGCUCCCGGCUUAACUGGGAGAGGUCGUUGAAGACUGCUGUGCUUGAGGCAAUGAGAGGGGUGUAGAAUUCCCGGUGUAGUGGUGGAAUGCGUAGAUAUCGGGGGGAAUACCAGUGGCGAAAGCGGCACCCUAGCAUUAGCCUGACGCUCAUGUGCGAAAGCGUGGGGAGCGAACGGG